rnacentral:lncRNA from 1 species
CUCACACCCUGAGUCCAGACUGCAAACACACACCCUCGGACAGGUGGAAAUGGACCACGCUGACCCCAGACAAGGCUGGGGCGUGCACAGUGAGCAGGGAGGACUCAGUUCAGCUCCAGCCCAGCGUGGCAUAUUGUUCCAGGUCUCUGGUCUCAAAAAGAGAAGUGAGAAACCUCUAUUUUACGUGAACUCUACAGUCACUAAAAUUAACUAAUCCGUUCUUCAACCAGCUUGGGCCAAAACAGGGGAGGCAGACUGGGGCUGCACCCGUACUACCAAGCGGCGUCAGUCUCCUCCGCCACAGCCUGGUAGUUCAGGUGUCCCGCGACCCUCCGCUCGCGGUCUCUGCUCGGCCCAGCGCGCUGAUCUCCAGCAAUAACCACCAGCAGCGUACCAGUGUCUGUCCGUCCCGAGCUCCGGUUGCACUUUGCCGCCUCGUCAGCACUGCGCCUGCGCGGGGGCGCUGCCGGGGCGAGCCAUAGCCUUGGCGGGGGGUGAGCGGGCACCCCCGCCCUGCGAUGGAGCCGUCCGUUGCCAUGGAGCUACCUGCUCCAAACCGCGCCGCCAGCGGACUCUGAGGAGCUUCUCCGCCCAGAUCCCGCGCUGCUCGGAACCAGCGGGGCCGCUGACAGCUGAUUUUGCCCCAGGAUGGAAGAAGACGACAAGAAGCUUUUGGAUGACAAGCCGCUCGUGGAAGAUGGUAAUUAAGAAGGGUCUCCUCACAAAGAACAUACAUUUCACAGCACAGAAGGCACAGGGUGGGCUUGAUCAGGGCCCUUUAAUUCCCUUUUUUUCAUAGAAGCUACAUUUUUUAAGCUCACAUUUUUCUUGAAAAGGCAGCCUACAGUAUUCUGUCUUUAACUGGAGAAAGGGUUCAUGUGGCUGAGACCUUGAAGAUGGUGACUGUAGUUUCCAGCGUCUCUGUGGAGGAAUCUGGUGCUGUGUUUACUCCAGUCCUCUGAAUGUGAUCUGUUCUUGUUUUAUUUUCCUGGAAACUUUUGGAUUAAAAAAAAAGUCCUAUGAUCUGCAGUUCCUCUAAGACAUGCUUUGGUUUGGGCUAGUGCUGGACACCAGCAGGACAGCUUUACAAGGACACUGAUGUCCCUGCCCCACUAGGACCCACUUCCAUGCCUGAGAGCCCCUGCCCCGAAGCUGUGCUGCCUUCUCCCUUCUACUGACCCCUGUCUCAUGACUGUAGAUUCAUGCCUUUUAGAACUUCUUUUCAGUCAUUUUUGCUGAGCUUUAAUGAAGGACUGGAGCUAAGCCGUGUUUUGCUUGAAAUUGGCCGUGAUUCUCAAAGGCAAUAAUUCUCACACUUUUUUGUCAAGAAACUCCAUUAUAUUCCUAAAAAAUUACUGAAGACCCAAAGAGCGCUGGUUUACAUCAGUUAUACCUUUCAAUGUUUACUGCAUUAAGAACUAAAGCUAAAAAAAUGUUAUUUACUCACUUAAAAUAGCAGUAAUAAACCUGCUGCGUGUAACA